rnacentral:lncRNA from 1 species
GUCCUAUUAAGAAAUUUGGUACCUGUUGUCAGUCCUCCCUGGCAGCACAUCCUUCUUCUCUCCUUCUGAAUUACAUGAAUUUAAACCAGAGGACGACAUAUCCUUUUUGGAAUAAACCUUUUGGAGCGCAGUGUUCUUGGGGAGAUCCGAUGAGCGCUCAGGAAACAUCAUACGGUGGAAAGAAGAGGGAAUGUGAAAGAGCUGAGCUCAAAUCCCCACUCCGUCACCAGUAGUUGUGUGAACUUGGCUACUAGAACAUUUAAAGAUACAUCUGUGGCUCAAAUUGUAUUUCUAUUGAAUGGUGCUGGUCUACACACAACAUUGGAAAGGAAUGGGGGCAAUUCUUACUAGAAUUUCUCCUUUACUCUAUUUCUUGUUAAGUCUUUGAGGUCUGAGAAAACGUAUGCUUCUGAGGGAGGUGCCAUUUCAACUCUUCUGUUCACUGAAUAAAUGAAGGAAAUCAGGGUAGGUGGAAGAGAAAGAUUUGAGGAGAGGACCUGAGGAAACUGACUCCAAGAAUGGGCAUGGUUUGGUUGAGUUUAUUUGCUCUGCAGUUUGGCCAAGGCCCGACAUACACAGCCUGUCUCUGGGGUGGUUCAUCCCUGACCAGGCCAGCGAGCUUUAAACUCGGGGUGUCUGAAAAAUGAUUGGCUCAUACUGAUCUAUUCAAUGUAUGAGAACAUGGAUUUUCCCCGUGUUCAAGUGGUAAUUCUCGCCAUAUUUGUCAUGUUCAUUUAUAAAUAAAACAAUAUUUCAAGUAAGCGAUAGCAACA